CAGCAGCAGAAGCAGCAGAUCCUCUCCCUGCCUCUCACUUACUGCCUGUGACUUUAUCUUCUGCUUUCUCCCCUUCUAUACCCUCCUCGUCGUGUUGAUUUCCUUCGUCCAUAAGACCUUGUACACUUCAAAGUCCUGAGCAUGAAAGGGUGAAGGAAGAGAAAUUGUGUCUGGCAGUGAAGGGGAUGAGGCAACAGCGGAUAAAAUGUGACGCGUGGAGAGGCUGGAGUGAAAUAGAGAUGCAAGCCUGCAAGUCAAGAGGGAAAGCUCUAACUCAAGAGUGAGGAGGAGAGGACAGAGAGGAGGAAUCAAGUUGAAAUCAGAAAAAGGAACACGGGAAAAGUGAGCCUUGUCUUCCUGGUGCAGUCACCUGGUACACUAGCGCAAGGGAGCAAUCUCAAGACAGACUCAAGUCCUUUGUCGCCUCCUUGUCCUGCUCUCCCCCAUUCGCCCUCCUCGUCCUCACUGG
rnacentral:lncRNA from 1 species